rnacentral:tRNA from 1 species
CGUAGCUCAGCUGGAUAGAGCAUCGGCCUUCUAAGCCGAGGGUCGUUGGUUCGAGUCCAACCGG